rnacentral:rRNA from 1 species
AUUGAACGCUGGCGGCAGGCUUAACACAUGCAAGUCGAGCGGAGACUUCGGUCUUAGCGGCGAACGGGUGAGUAAUACCUAGGAAUCUGCCUAUUAGUGGGGGAUAACGAAUCGAAAGGUUCGCUAAUACCGCAUACGUCCUACGGGAGAAAGGGGGGGAUCUUCGGACCUCUCGCUAAUAGAUGAGCCUAGGCCGGAUUAGCUAGUUGGUAGGGUAAAGGCCUACCAAGGCGACGAUCUGUAGCUGGUCUGAGAGGAUGGCCAGCCACACUGGAACUGAGACACGGUCCAGACUCCUACGGGAGGCAGCAGUGGGGAAUAUUGGACAAUGGGGGCAACCCUAAUCCAGCCAUGCCGCGUGUGUGAAGAA